GCAGUCGACGAGAAGCCCUUCGGGGUUAGUAAAGUGGCGAACGGGUGAGUAACACGUGGGCAACCUGCCCCUCGCAGGGGGACAACCGGAGGAAACUCCGGCUAAUACCCCGUAAGCUUGUCGAGUCGCAUGGCUCUUCAAGGAAAGGUAGCUUCGGCCAUCCGGCGAGGGAUGGGCCCGCGUUGCAUUAGCUAGUUGGUGGGGUAACGGCCCACCAAGGCGACGAUGCGUAGCUGGUCUGAGAGGAUGAUCAGCCACACUGGGACUGAGACACGGCCCAGACUCCUACGGGAGGCAGCAGCCAGGAAUCUUGGGCAAUGGGCGAAAGCCUGACCCAGCAACACCGUGUGGGUGACGAAGGCCUUAGGGUCGUAAAGCCCUGUUGAUAGGGACGAAGGGCGAAGGGUUAAUAGCCCCUAGCUUGACGGUACCUUUCGAGGAAGCCCCGGCUAACUACGUGCCAGCAGCCGCGGUAAUACGUAGGGGGCGAGCGUUGUCCGGAAUUAUUGGGCGUAAAGAGCGUGUAGGCGGUUCGGUAAGUCUGCUGUGAAAUCCUGGGGCUCAACCCUGGGCGUGCAGCGGAUACUGCCGGGCUAGAGGGUGGUAGAGGCGAGUGGAAUUCCGAGUGUAGCGGUGAAAUGCGCAGAUAUUCGGAGGAACACCAGUAGCGAAGGCGGCUCGCUGGGCCACACCUGACGCUGAGACGCGAAAGCGUGGGGAGCGAACAGGAUUAGA
rnacentral:rRNA from 1 species